AAUUAUAUUUUAUCAUACAAUACUGCCACAUUUUGGUAUAGUACAGUAUUACAUUGCGUUUAAAAAACAAUAUUAGCCAUAAAACGUAAUAUGACAGUCUCUAAUAUUACUUUUGAGGUCACUGGUUAUAAAAAAUAAAACUGUAAACCAUCACAAACGUAAUCAUUGCAGUUUUGAAUAUCGAAACCAUGAUUAAUUUAAGAUUUAACAGAAAGUUAUACACCUAUGCUUAGAAAUUUGUCAGUUUUAUGUUCAUUUAAGUGAAAAAAACAAAAAAUAUUAUGCUAACACAAAUCCGUGAGGCAGAAUUUAAUCAAAAUAACGUUUGUGAGAGUCUACCAUUUUAUAUUCAAAAUUGUUGUGGUUCAGAUAAUAUAUCAAACACAAAAGUACUAAAUUUUGAGUUAUGGUGGUCUUGCUCCAAGAGUGCGAUAUAUAUCUUAAUUUAUGCCUGGUAUACUGUAGCGGAUACAGUCGACAGUAUAACUUGUAUGUAUCAUUAUAAUGUUGAAUACAGGAGAAAUUAAAUUAUAGGAGUGAUAAUACAGAGGGAUUCGGGGAAUAUCUAGACGUUAAGAUAUUAGAGUGGUAUUCUUAGCGUCUAGACGCUAAGAAGAUAUAAAGCGAUUCGGACAAUGUUAAUAUUCUCAGAAACAGACACAACCGAUAUAUCUGAUAGAAUACAGGUGAAAAUGUGAAAUUGAUAAAUGAAGGGAUUCUGUCAUUGUCUAAAUGCCAGUGUUUUGUGUUUAUAUACAUACAAAAAUGGAGCGAAUGGAAAACAAAUCGAAAAAGUUAUUACAUCAAUAACUCCGCAAUCGAAUUUUCAUGCAAUUAAUAUGAUAC